rnacentral:rRNA from 1 species
GAUGAACGCUGGCGGCGUGCCUAAUACAUGCAAGUCGAACGCAGAAACAGGAGCUUGCUUCUCUGGAUGAGUUGCGAACGGGUGAGUAAAGCGUAUGUAACCUGCCUCGUAGCGGCGGGUAACACUUGGAAACGAUAGCUAAUACAGCAUAAGAGUUGAUGUUCCAUGACAUUUACUAAAAAGGUGCACUUUUAUCACUACCAGAUGGACGUGCGUUGUAUUAGGUAGUUGGUGGGGUAACGGCUUAACAACGCGACGAUACAUCGUCGGCCUGCGAGGGGGGACGGGCACACUGGGAACGAGACACGGCCCAGACUCCUACGGGAGGGAGCAGGAGGGAAACUUCGGCAAUGGGGGGAAGUCUGACCGAGCAAAGGCGCGUGAGGGAAGAAGGGUUUCCGAUCGGAAAGCUCUGUUUUAAGGGAAGAACGAGUUGGAUAGGGGAAAGUGCACACUGUGACGGUAUCUGACCAGAAAGGGACGGCUAACUACGUG